UACGAAGGUGGCAAGCGUUGUUCGGAUUUACUGGGCGUACAGGGAGCGUAGGCGGUUGGAUAAGCCCUCCGUGAAAUCUCCAGGCUUAACCUGGGAACUGCACUUGUGACUGCACGGCUGGAGUACGGCAGAGGGGAUGGAAUUCCGCGUGUAGGCAGUGAAAUGCGUAGAUAUGCGGAGGAACACCGAUGGCGGAGGCAGUCCCCUGGGCCUGUACUGACGCUCAUGCACGAAAGCGUGGGGAGCAAACAGG
rnacentral:rRNA from 1 species